rnacentral:rRNA from 1 species
UACGGAGGGUGCAAGCGUUAUCCGGAUUCACUGGGUUUAAAGGGUGCGUAGGUGGGCAGGUAAGUCAGUGGUGAAAUCUCCGGGCUUAACCCGGAAACUGCCAUUGAUACUAUCAGUCUUGAAUACCGUGGAGGUAAGCGGAAUAUGUCAUGUAGCGGUGAAAUGCUUAGAUAUGACAUAGAACACCAAUUGCGAAGGCAGCUCACUACGGGGUCAUUGACACUGAGGCACGAAAGCGUGGGGAUCAAACAGG